rnacentral:rRNA from 1 species
UUUAAACCCUUUUUAAAGUAUCAAUUGGAGGGCAAGUCUGGUGCCAGCAGCCGCGGUAAUUCCAGCUCCAAUAGCGUAUAUUAAAAUUGUUGCAGUUAAAAAGCUCGUAGUUGAAGUUCUGCUAAAAGUAACCGGUCUGCUUUGAAUAAAAGUGGUAUCUUGGUAUGUAUUUAGCAAUGAUGUCCUUUGAAAUGUUUUUUACUUUAUUGUAAUAAAGCAUAUUCAGGACUUUUUUACUUUGAGAAAAUUAGAGUGUUUCUAGCAGGCUUCUGCUUUGAAUACUGCAGCAUGGAAUAAUAAGAUAGGAUUUUAGUUCUACAUUAUUGGUUUUAAGAGCUAAAUUAAUGAUUGAUAGGGACAGUUGGGGGCAUUUGUAUUUAACUGUCAGAGGUGAAAUUCUUAGAUUUGUUAAAGACAAACUACUGCGAAAGCAUUUGCCAAAGAUGUUUUCAUUAAUC